rnacentral:rRNA from 1 species
UGUGAGCUCGAUGAGUAGGGCGGGACACGUGGUAUCCUGUCUGAAUAUGGGGGGACCAUCCUCCAAGGCUAAAUACUCCUGACUGACCGAUAGUGAACCAGUACCGUGAGGGAAAGGCGAAAAGAACCCCGGCGAGGGGAGUGAAAAAGAACCUGAAACCGUGUACGUACAAGCAGUGGGAGCACGCUUAGGCGUGUGACUGCGUACCUUUUGUAUAAUGGGUCAGCGACUUAUAUUCUGUAGCAAGGUUAACCGAAUAGGGGAGCCGAAGGGAAACCGAGUCUUAACUGGGCGUUAAGUUGCAGGGUAUAGACCCGAAACCCGGUGAUCUAGCCAUGGGCAGGUUGAAGGUUGGGUAACACUAACUGGAGGACCGAACCGACUAAUGUUGAAAAAUUAGCGGAUGACUUGUGGCUGGGGGUGAAAGGCCAAUCAAACCGGGAGAUAGCUGGUUCUCCCCGAAAGCUAUUUAGGUAGCGCCUCGUGAAUUCAUCUCCGGGGGUAGAGCACUGUUUCGGCAAGGGGGUCAUCCCGACUUACCAACCCGAUGCAAACUGCGAAUACCGGAGAAUGUUAUCACGGGAGACACACGGCGGGUGCUAACGUCCGUCGUGAAGAGGGAAACAACCCAGACCGCCAGCUAAGGUCCCAAAGUCAUGGUUAAGUGGGAAACGAUGUGGGAAGGCCCAGACAGCCAGGAUGUUGGCUUAGAAGCAGCCAUCAUUUAAAGAAAGCGUAAUAGCUCACUGGUCGAGUCGGCCUGCGCGGAAGAUGUAACGGGGCUAAACCAUGCACCGAAGCUGCGGCAGCGACGCUUAUGCGUUGUUGGGUAGGGGAGCGUUCUGUAAGCCUGCGAAGGUGUGCUGUGAGGCAUGCUGGAGGUAUCAGAAGUGCGAAUGCUGACAUAAGUAACGAUAAAGCGGGUGAAAAGCCCGCUCGCCGGAAGACCAAGGGUUCCUGUCCAACGUUAAUCGGGGCAGGGUGAGUCGACCCCUAAGGCGAGGCCGAAAGGCGUAGUCGAUGGGAAACAGGUUAAUAUUCCUGUACUUGGUGUUACUGCGAAGGGGGGACGGAGAAGGCUAUGUUGGCCGGGCGACGGUUGUCCCGGUUUAAGCGUGUAGGCUGGUUUUCCAGGCAAAUCCGGAAAAUCAAGGCUGAGGCGUGAUGACGAGGCACUACGGUGCUGAAGCAACAAAUGCCCUGCUUCCAGGAAAAGCCUCUAAGCAUCAGGUAACAUCAAAUCGUACCCCAAACCGACACAGGUGGUCAGGUAGAGAAUACCAAGGCGCUUGAGAGAACUCGGGUGAAGGAACUAGGCAAAAUGGUGCCGUAACUUCGGGAGAAGGCACGCUGAUAUGUAGGUGAGGUCCCUCGCGGAUGGAGCUGAAAUCAGUCGAAGAUACCAGCUGGCUGCAACUGUUUAUUAAAAACACAGCACUGUGCAAACACGAAAGUGGACGUAUACGGUGUGACGCCUGCCCGGUGCCGGAAGGUUAAUUGAUGGGGUUAGCCGCAAGGCGAAGCUCUUGAUCGAAGCCCCGGUAAACGGCGGCCGUAACUAUAACGGUCCUAAGGUAGCGAAAUUCCUUGUCGGGUAAGUUCCGACCUGCACGAAUGGCGUAAUGAUGGCCAGGCUGUCUCCACCCGAGACUCAGUGAAAUUGAACUCGCUGUGAAGAUGCAGUGUACCCGCGGCAAGACGGAAAGACCCCGUGAACCUUUACUAUAGCUUGACACUGAACAUUGAGCCUUGAUGUGUAGGAUAGGUGGGAGGCUUAGAAGUGUGGACGCCAGUCUGCAUGGAGCCGACCUUGAAAUACCACCCUUUAAUGUUUGAUGUUCUAACGUUGACCCGUAAUCCGGGUUGCGGACAGUGUCUGGUGGGUAGUUUGACUGGGGCGGUCUCCUCCUAAAGAGUAACGGAGGAGCACGAAGGUUGGCUAAUCCUGGUCGGACAUCAGGAGGUUAGUGCAAUGGCAUAAGCCAGCUUGACUGCGAGCGUGACGGCGCGAGCAGGUGCGAAAGCAGGUCAUAGUGAUCCGGUGGUUCUGAAUGGAAGGGCCAUCGCUCAACGGAUAAAAGGUACUCCGGGGAUAACAGGCUGAUACCGCCCAAGAGUUCAUAUCGACGGCGGUGUUUGGCACCUCGAUGUCGGCUCAUCACAUCCUGGGGCUGAAGUAGGUCCCAAGGGUAUGGCUGUUCGCCAUUUAAAGUGGUACGCGAGCUGGGUUUAGAACGUCGUGAGACAGUUCGGUCCCUAUCUGCCGUGGGCGCUGGAGAACUGAGGGGGGCUGCUCCUAGUACGAGAGGACCGGAGUGGACGCAUCACUGGUGUUCGGGUUGUCAUGCCAAUGGCACUGCCCGGUAGCUAAAUGCGGAAGAGAUAAGUGCUGAAAGCAUCUAAGCACGAAACUUGCCCCGAGAUGAGUUCUCCCUGACUCCUUGAGAGUCCUGAAGGAACGUUGAAGACGACGACGUUGAUAGGCCGGGUGUGUAAGCGCAGCGAUGCGUUGAGCUAACCGGUACUAAUGAACCGUGAGGCUUAACCUUACAACGCCGAAGGUGUUU